AGAGUAGAUGUUCGUCGUUUCCGGGUUGUGAGAAUUAAUGGGUAAUGGGAAGCAGCGGAAAGGCGGUAAUGGUACUCAUAGGAGGUGUGGCUGAGAAGAUGCUGAUGCUCUGAAAAAGUUCUUUGAAGAGAACAAUGAAAAGGGUCCCUCAAAGUGCAGCUCACAACCUGAAACAUUUAUUCAAGUCAAUGGUGUCUUCUUCACCAAAGAAAGAAAUCAUCAACAGAUUUAGGGUUUAAAAGAGGUUCUUUUAACUGAUAUUUGAACAGAAGCAGGUGGUUCGGUUGGAUUGGGAGGUGGUUUGUGAAAGCUCGGGGUACCUUUGCUUCAAGCAAAGCAACAAACCCUCUGCUCUUGGUGCCAGAAAGUGGUUUUUGUCAUUGCGAUCAGCAUCAGAUAUGAGAUCUUUCACCAUGUUCCAUGAUGAUUUUGAAUGGCUUGUGCAAGCUUUACGUCUCCAUGUAUGCAUUGAAGCUUCGACCCGGUCUGCAAGCUCAAGUGCUUCAUGUUCAGAUGUUAUAUUGAGAGAGUCAAGAAGGCUGUCUGGGGAGAAUUUGACUGCAGUCCACAUGUGACGGUAUAUUGUGUCUCCAAGACUUGCCCUUCCACUCUGAAAAAAAAUGUUUUUCCUCCCCCAAAAAUGAAGUGCAUGUUAGGAAUUGCAAGGAAGUUCUCUGAAUGACUCAAAAAGCUCUGAAGAAAAUGCAGCAUUUUCAUUGACUUAUGUAAUUAGAUAAUCUGACAAUAAUGCAUGUAAUUCAGUAUUUUGCUAAUUAUUUCUGUUCGUCA